GCAAUUUAUGAUAACUAUGCUUAACUUAUAUUAUCUAUGAUAGUAAUGAUAUAAUGAUACUAUAGAAGUAUUUUUAAGGUCAUAACAUAUUAAUGCUUUUGUAAUUUUCUUAUUUAUACUUUUUAACUCAAGUCAUCAAUCAUCACAUUAGAAAAAGCCAAACCAGUUGACCAAUUAUUCCAUCAUAUAUAUGUUGCCCAUUUCAAUAACUUGGAAAUCAAUUACAUCUUUACCGAAAUAAUGCAAACUAUUUUAUUCAAACAACUGCACAAAACAAAUUACACAAGUGUUAUAAUAACUGAAACAAAAUAAAGAGGAAGCAAUGACGCACUAAUAGAAUCUGAAGAAUGACCACUAUAACACUAUUUAAGAUUAAAUUACUAUGUAUUUUUCAGUAAAUUAUUUUUACAGUUGACAAAUUAACUUAAAAAUUAUUUUUUAAUAAGUUAAAAUAAUGUUACAUUUAUUCAUUGUACUAUUUGCUUAUCUUAUGUAUAAUAGUUAAUGUUAUUUUAUCAAACUAUAUAGUAUAAUAGAAACAGAACUUUAAUUAGCUGAACAUUUUUUUCUACAAUAUUUUGGAUAAAUAAUUUAUUAUAAUAAAUAAUUUACAUUUUACUGUAGUACAGAUAUAAUGGCUGAUUGAUUGGAGAUUUAUGUCUCUAUUUUGUUCUAUUAUUUAAUUUAUACCAUGAUGUUUAUCAUAAUAACACAAUAAUAGUAUU